rnacentral:rRNA from 1 species
UACGUAGGUGGCAAGCGUUGUCCGGAUUUACUGGGCGUAAAGGGCGUGCAGGCGGUUUGUUAAGUGCAGGGUGAAAGCUCCCGGCUCAACUGGGAGAGGUCCUUGCAUACUGGCGAACUUGAGGGAUGCAGAGGAAAGUGGAAUUCCCGGUGUAGUGGUGAUAUGCGUAGAUAUCGGGAGGAACACCAGUGGCGAAGGCGGCUUUCUGGGCAUUUCCUGACGCUGAGACGCGAAAGCGUGGGGAGCGAACCGA